rnacentral:tRNA from 1 species
UGCAUCGGCCGGGAAUCGAACCCGGGCCGCCCGCGUGGCAGGCGAGCAUUCUUCCACGUAUAAAAAAUGC